rnacentral:misc_RNA from 1 species
GAUGAAGAACGCAGCGAAAUGCGACAAGUAAUGUGAAUUGCAGAAUUCAGUGAAUCAUCGAAUCUUUGAACGCACAUUGCGCCCUCUGGUAUUCCGGGGGGCAUGCCUGUUCGAGCGUCAUUAUAACCACUCAAGCUCUCGCUUGGUAUUGGGGUUCGCGGUUUCGCGGCCCCUAAAAUCAGUGGCGGUGCCUGUCGGCUCUACGCGUAGUAAUACUUCUCGCGAUUGAGUCCGAUAGGUCUACUUGCCAGUAACCCCCAAUUUUUACAGGUUGACCUCGGAUCAGGUAGGGAUACCCGCUGAACUUAAGCAUAUCAAUAAGCGGAGGA